UAAAAUAUUGUGUAUCUCAAAACUGUCUUUUACAUCAAUCAUUUGGAAAUAGAGUAGUUGAUUUUCUUUUCUACAGUAAGAUUUCAGAACUUGAAAAGGAAUUGCAAACAACUGGACAUAACCUGAAGUCUGUAGAAGUUAAUGAAGAACAGGCUGUCCAAAAGCAAGAAGAAUAUGCACAACAAGUCCAGGAACUGACACAAAAGCUGCAGGAGGUAUGGUGGAAUAGCUGCUACACUAGGCUGAGAGUCGUGCAGAUAUUGCAGAACGUUCUGUACAGAAACUGCAGAAAGAAGUGGAAAAUCUUGAAGAAACGGUGGAAACAGAACGAGUGCAGAACCAGUCUCUACAGCAAGAAGUGGAGAGUACUCUGAAAGAAAUUUCCUCCAUGUGAUAUGGUAUAAUACCUGCAACAUGGUGAAAGAUGAGCUGGUUCAUGAGAAGUAAAAGAACAUUUUCAACAAGGUGGACCAGACAUUUGUAGAACUCACUGGUUAUUGAAGGCUUAUCUUUAUAUUUAUAUGUUUUAAAUUCCCAGUGUUUGUUCUAUAUAAUUUUUGCAUACAUAUUGUAUAAAAAUUUAAAAGAAUUAUGCCAGUGAAUUUAUCUGUAUUUCACUUGUUUUUCUCAGUCUAUGACCACAGGUUAGGUUUUAUGUACAAUUGGCAACAGUGACAUAAAAAUUUGGGCUUAAAAUCAGUACAGUGGGUCCCCGUUAUAUCUUGCAUCACUCUGUGUUGUUUCAUUAUUAGAGCAUUCACCAAUUACUACCCAUGUAUCAAACAAUGUUGCCUUGUUUCGUUACUAGAGUGUUCUAACAUUGUCAAGUACUUUUCCGGGUGUAGUGCUUACCAAUUACUACCAAUAUUUUUGAAACAAUGUCACCUUGUUUCAUUACUAGAGUAUUAACCUUUUCUGCCCAGACAUUCUUUAUUGUGCAUGUCAUAAGGGUUUUAGUGAUUUACAUUCAAAAUUGAAUUAAACUACUUUUUGUUUAUUUUAUACCUAUUAGCAUAGCAUAAAAUCAUAGCUAAUAAUCCAUAUUUUAACAGUAUAUAAGUUUUAAGUUCUUACUUUUAUAAUACAAUAUUUAAAAAAAAUCCAGAUUUUCCCUUAGUGUGAGAAAUGUGGCAUUUUUUUCUCUAGGCAUCCCCCUCUCCUCUAAUGUAUUCACCACCCCUCCAAUAAAUAUGAAAUUUAACAUAAAUUACUCAAUAUAAUAUCAUAAUCACUCUAACAAACCAAAUUUUAUUAGCCUUCAAUUUGUUUUGGUUACAAGCUUCAUUCCCAUGGGAAAGAUAUCACAUGGUCAGUCCAUUCAACCAAGCCCGGACUACUUUACCAAGCAUAGUGUACUGUACUACCAAUAUGUGUGUGAAUCAACGUUGCCUUGUCAAGAUGGCAGAGGAUGUAAAGACAUUUGUGUUCACAUGGAUGUUUUGUAUAGUAAACUGUUGUUUAAAAAGCCACUUUACACCCUUUAAAAAAGUUAUUCAGAAGUGGACCAAAAUUUUUCAGGAACAUAUCCCCCCCCCCCCAUAAUACAUGUAAAGAUUGUGUUGCUUAAUAUCAUUUUAGAUGUACAUCCCACUUUCCAGGAAUGCCUCACGAUGUAUAACAGGAAACCCCUGUAAUAAGAUUUUGUGAAUAUUGGGAAAGAAUUCGUAACAUUGAUACUGUAACUUUUAUCUUUAAGAGUAAAGAUUACAGCAGUGAU